rnacentral:lncRNA from 1 species
GUCUGCAUUUUGCUAACGUGUCACGACUCUAGUAUUGAUUCUACUUUGAUUUUACUCUUGUGUCAAAGUGACAGAAUGAGAUUGCAAUUCGAAUCAUCAUAUCAUUACAAAGAUAUGAAUUGCGUAAUUUUACACGAAUUUAAUCUCUCAUGGCCUGACAAUACGAACCAAGGCAUGCGUUCUCCUGAAUGGCACAGUAUAUAGACUUUUUUGUCGAUGGGUAUGGCCGCCAUGUUUGGUUUAUGACAAUUAGACGGGGAUUUUGUCGUACCAAAGAGUAAAUUGCAAGUUUUUUCGGCACAACUUGGUUCCUCUACUCGUCGCAAGAUGGCGUUGGCAUUAUUAAAAUAAACAAGAAUGACGUGCAUUUGCGUCGGUGUAGACCCAUCAUGAAAACGUAGAUAUGAUAAUUUUAUAUUUAAAAAAAAGCUAACGUGACAUAAAUUUGACAAAUGUCUAAAAGAAAUAUAGUAUUUUCUGUGUAAUAUCUUCUUCCGUGCACGUGUGAUUUAUUGUUUAGUCAAUUUAAAUAUCACUCUAAGUAAGAACUGUUAGACAAAACACUUUAUCUCGUAGCAUAAUUGUAUAUUUCAAUAUAUCACAGCCAUACAUUUUUAUAUUCUUUCAGGUGAUUCAGCUUACCCACAGAGGCAAACACUACUGAUGGAUGCACUGACUUUUGGAUGCACCUGUAGGAUCUCCAGAAGCUUUACAAGUUCGAGCCCGCAACUGUAUAGAGCGGUGUUUUGGGCGACUAAAAAUCAGUUGGCAGUGUUUGUCGCCAAUGGAGAAACUGCACUACAAGCCAGCAGAGGCAGCUAAGAUCGUUAACACGUGUUGUGUGCUUGACAAUAUAGCUAACAAAGCGAAUUGUGAACUGCCUCCGCUGAACCGACACGAAGAACAGGAGCAGCAGCAGGAGCAGAGAUUAGCGGCGGAGUUUGACGCCCGUCAGCAGAAUGCUGAUAUUUAUUUGGCAAUGGCUCCUGACAGGUGUUGGCUAAACAAAGAGCUGCAGCUGGGUCGAGCUGCUCGUCAAGCGCUUGUACGGCAGUUAGCAAAUUAUUGAUUCUUCAUCGGACCAAGGCCGAUUUGUCCAGGACCAAUUUUCGGAUCUCCUGGGCUUCCUGGAACAAGGACUAGUGAUUGUUUCGAGGAGCUGUCAUGGUGUUGGAUCUUGAUAUUUUAUCGUGAAACGCAGAUUUAAUGAUGACGGCGCGUCGGAACCCAAACGUCAAGAAUCGCCGACGUUCACGGAAGCAGCUACAAUGAGCGGAGAAUCUGAGAGCCAGGAAUGCGGAGCACCUAGCUACUACUGAAAUGGAGGACCCGGACCUGUUAGCGACAUGGAACUGACCAGGACCGUCGUGGGCUCCUCAUGUGCCACCCCCGGAUACCUUUUCUGAUUGUGGUGUUUACAGUACAGUGUACAUAUUCAUGAAAAAAAAAAUUGUAGGUACUUUUUUACAUUUUUAAAAAACGCACUCUGCAUGGUUUUGGAGUUUCGACAUGGGUUGUGGUCGUGCUAGAUAAAAACCCCCAGGCAAGAGCAAACAAUUUUUUUUCCUAGCCUAUAUUUGUGACCCACUGCAAAGGCCUCUCUUUUCUUCCGCCACCCAUCACGUUUUGCCGCCUGCUUCGGCUAGCCGCUGCAAAAUACGUCGAGGUCAUCUCGCCUCGUGUUUUUUUGGUCUACCUCUGCCCCGACUAGUCGGUGGUGUCCAGUUAGCAAACUAUACACCCUGUUUUUAUUUUAAAUUAUAUGUGUUGUAUUCUUUUCUUGUACAAUAAAGUGUUUACUUACUUACUUUUUUGAAUUCCGUUAACUUUAAGGGAAGGUUCUUUAGAUUAAAUACGAUUAAUUUCUCAAAAAAGCUAGCGUCUUGACUGUUACGUUUACCGAGUUUGAAAAAAUAAUAGUUAUUUGUUUUACAAGGGGGCAAAGUAGUUGUUUAACUGGACGUGCCAAUAUUGAUACCUGAGCAAGGGAAAGAUUUCAAU